rnacentral:misc_RNA from 1 species
UUCUAUCGACUAGAGGCUGU